rnacentral:rRNA from 1 species
UCCUACGGGAGGCAGCAGUGGGGAAUGUUGCACAAUGGAGGAAACCCUGAUGCAGCGACGCCGCGUGAGUGAAGAAGUAAUUCGUUAUGUAAAGCUCUAUCAGCAGGGAAGAAAAUGACGGUACCUGAAGAAGAAGCCCCGGCUAACUACGUGCCAGCAGCCGCGGUAAUACGUAGGGGGCAAGCAUUAUCCGGAUUUACUGGGUGUAAAGGGGGCGCAGACGGCGAUGCAAGCCAGGAGUGAAAGCACGG